UGGUUUUGUUGUUCAGGGGGGGUCAGGCAAGGUUUGUAGACUUCGAAAAUCCUUUUAUGGCUUGAAAUAGAGUCCUCGGGCAUGGUUUGGCAGGUUUAGUGAGGUGGUCCAACAGUUUGGAAUGAAGAUGAGUAAAUGUGAUCACUCAGUGUUUUAUAAAAAUUCUGAUAGUGGAGUAAUUCUACUUGUAGUAUAUGUGGAUGAUAUCGUUAUUACAGGAAGUGACAUUGCUGGCAUCACAUCCCUAAAAGAAUUUCUUAAAACACAGUUUCAUACAAAGGAUUUGGGUUCAUUGAAAUAUUUAUUGGGAAUCGAAGUUAUGCGGUGUAAGAAAGGCAUCUUCUUGUCUCAAAGGAAAUAUGUUCUUGAUUUAUUAGCAGAAACAGGAAAAUUGGAUGCUAAGCCUUGUAGUGCUCCAAUGACUCCUAAUCUUCAACUUACCAUAGAAGACAGUGAGCCAUUUGCAGAUCCUGAAAGGUAUAGAAGAUAAGUUGGCAAGCUGAAUAAUUUGACUGUGACUCGUCCUGAUAUUGCAUAUUCAGUGAGUGUAGUAAGUCAGUUUAUGUCCUCUUCUACUGUUGCCCAGUGAGAUGCUGUGGGACAAAUUCUUUGUUAUCUUAAAGGGGCCCCAGAGCGAGGCCUAUUCUAUGGUAACCAUGGGCACUCAAAUAUUGAAUGCUUUUCUGAUGCUGAUUGGACAGGCUCGAAGGUUGAUAGGAGGUCAACUACUGAGUAUUGUGUUUUUGUGGGAGGUAACUUGGUCUCAUGGAAAAGUAAGAAGCAAAAUGUGGUCUCUCGUUCUAGUGCUGAAUCUGAAUAUCGAGCCAUGACACAAGCCGUUUGUGAAGUCUUGUGGGUACGUCAACUAUUAAAAGAAGUUGGGUUCACAAAUUUGGUGCUUGCUAAGUUUUGGUGUGAUAAUCAAGCAGCUAUUCACAUUGCCUCCAAUCCAGUAUUUCACGAGAGGACUAAACACAUUAAGAUUGAUUGUCAUUUUGUUCGUGAAAAGGUCCAAUAAAAGAUAAUAUUCAACAGGACAUAUUCGAACUGGAGAACAAUUAGGAGAUAUCUUCGCUAAAGCUCUAAAUGGAACUCGAGUUGAUUAUAUAUGUAACAAGUUGGGCAUGAUUAACAUUUAUGCUCCAACUUGAGGGGGAGUGUUAUAGGUUAUAGAAAGUAAAUAUGUGAAUAUAGAAAGUAAAUAUUGAUAGAUGUGUUAGUUGCUUAAUCUUAGGGAUUGUAUAAUCAUAGGCUUGAUUUUCCUUCCUGUUUAGAUACCGUCUCUUAUAUAUAAAUAGGUUGUAAUCUCUAUUGUGAUAUACAUUAACAAAUAUUAUCCUUCUAUAAUUAGAAAGAGUUGGUUGUACUUCAAAUAUGUGAUUCUUACGGUAUGGAUCACAUAAUUUUUGUUUUCUUCAUGAUUUGCUUUCAAACAGCAAGAAACAACUUACAUGUCUCAACUUUAAAAGAACCAGGUAGAAGACAAAUAAAAAAAUCUAACUUAAAUACAUUUCCCCUUUAUUUUAGAUUCUUUACCUUUGAAAUUGAUAUGCAUUACAAGUGAAGAUUGGGUCAAGGAAGCCAGAGCAUUCUAGCAUUUUUCAAAAUGGAAGGAGCAUUUAGGCCAGUUUGAUGUUGGUCAUUGUUAUGAUUCAUUGUAUUUAUAGUUUGAGAAAUUAUAUUAAUUAUUAGGGAUGCAAAUGUCAGAGCAGUGGCUCUAAUGAGACUAAAAUGGGAAUAGAAUAGGGAAUAAAGAGGAGAAGAAGAGAAGAGUGUUUGGACAGAGAAAGAGAGUUUUUAGAGGAAGCAAGCUAUAUUUGCAUUAAUGUAUUAGAAUGCCUUUACAUGUGCAUUAUACUAAGAUAUAUACUAUUUUGUAGUAACUAACUUGAUAGUUGUACACUCACUAGCUAUAACUGCUACUAGCUAUAACAGCUUAUACUAGUCACAAUAUUUCCUGCUAUACAUUUUAGUCUGUCUUAUUUCUAUAUUUCUUCUUAAAAUACGUGACAAUACUCCCUGGUUGAGAACUUUCUUGACCUCAAGAAAAGGAAACAUGAGGAAACUGAGCCUCAAUAAAAUCCUUAUCUUCCCAAGUUGCAUCUUCAGGUGGUAGAUUCACCCAUUUGAUUAAUCCCUGUGCCACAUGGUCAUUUCCCCUUAGAAUAGUUCUAGUCUGUAACACUUUUUGGAGCCACUAUGAAGUUAUCAUGCUGGAGUUGUGGUAAGGCUGUGGAAAUGCUAACAGAGUCUCCCACUUUCUUCUAUCAAGGACACAUGAAAAACAGGAUUGAUGGAAGAUUCAAGGGGUAACUCCAGCUUAUAUGCUAUUUUCCCCACUCUGGAAACAAUCUUAUAAGGCCCAUAAUAUUUAGUACACAAUUAGAGACUGUCCAAGUGCUAAUGAGGUUUGUCUGUAUGGUUAAAGCUUUAAAUAGACCUAAUCACCCACAUCAAAUCCUCUUUCGGUCCUUCUGAAAUCUGUUUGCUGCUUCAUUAUGUUCUAAGCCAAUUCCAAAUUUUCUUUUAAAGUUGUCGCUUCUUAUGUCUACUUUGUAAAAUAUUAUCCACUACUUUGAUAGUCAUUCCAGCUAACAGUUCCAUAGGAAAGCUGAGAGGGGUAGCCAUAAUGUGCUUGGAAAGGUGACAUCUUAAGAGCACUAUGAGGAGUGGAAUUGUACCACCAUUCAGCCAUACGAAGCCACUAACUCCAAGUGUUGGUUUCAGAUGAACCAUGCAUUUCAGGUAAUUCUUUAGGCACUGGUUAACCCUCCUCGUUUGCCCAUCAGACUGAGGAUGAUAUGUGGAAUUGAAAGCUAGCUUAACGCCCAAACUUUUAAGCAAUUCCUACCAAAACAAGCUAGUGAAUACUUUAUCUCUGUGAGAGACUAUAAUCUUGGGAAUGCCAUGCAACUUAUAGAUAUGAUCCAUGAAUAAAUGAGCCAAUGUAGUAGAAGAAAAGGGAUGAGUAAGGGCAUAAAGUGUGCUAGCUUUGUAAGCCUACAAACCACCACUAAGAUGGUAUUCGUCCCUUUCGAUUUAAGGAGUCCCUCAAUAAAAUCCAUAGAUAUUUCUUGUCAAGCCUGAGUAGGAAUUGGCAAGGGCUUCAAUAGGCUUGGAUAAACACGGUGUUCAUUCUUGCAUCUUGCAUAUAUGUCACAUUGUGUUUAACACACUCCACGACUCCCUUUAGCAUGCUAGAUCAAUAGAAAUACUUCUUGAACUUUAGAUAAGUGAGAUGAACCCCAGAGCGUCCACCCACUAUUGAGUUAUGAUAAGAUUCCAGUAGCUGCUGCCUCAAGGUUUUGUUGUCCCCAACAUACAUUCUUGUUUUAUAAAACAGAACUCCAUUCUUUAAUUGGUAAUUGGUGGUAGCAGCAUAAGCAAUUGAGAGUUGUUGUAUCAAAUCAGUGGCCUUGGUGUCUCCUUUAUAACUAUUCUCCAAGUGCUGCAUCCAAGAUGGAAUAACCACUAAUGGUAAACUAUACAUUUGUUGCUUAUCAACAACAGUAGGCCUCCUAGAAAGUGCAUCUGCCACUGUGUUCUCUAUCCAUUCUGUAUAAUAUCUUGUAAUCAAGUCCCAACAGUUUUGAGAUGCCCCUCUGUUGUUGAUUGGUAUGCAAUCUUUGCUUUGGGAGAUGUUUAAUGCUUUCAUGGUCUGUGUUGAUGAAAAACUGUCCUUGUUCUAAAUAAUGCCUCCAUUUGCUUAUUGCAAAUGUAGUAGCCAGCAACUCCCUUUCAUAAAUUAAUAAAGCCUAAUUCCUGGGUUUAAAAGCCUUGGAGAUGUACAGGGCAUCCUUGCUAUUGUUAAACAACCCCGUUCCCCUAAUUGCUUGCAUCAGUUCCUAUAGUGAAUUGUAGUAAGAAGUCUAGUAGAGGACUUCAAUCAUCUUCUAUUUUAGCUGUUCAAAUGAAAUUGAGCUUCCUCACUCUAUAGGUGCAUCUUUCUUCAAUAGAUUGGUUAAGGAUCUGCAAAUAAUCGGGUAAAUUUCACUCAUUGUCCUUGAACUUAUAGUGUUGUAACAUCAUCGUUCCUAAACUUCAAUUUGUAACAUAAAACCCAUUAAACUUUGACUUAGGUAACAAUAAACUCCUUGUAACUUUUUUUUGCUGGUUUACUGAUUAACAAACUUUCUCAUCUGUCACAUGUUAGAAUAAAACAUCUUCUCUCUCCUUUUUGUUAUCUCUCAAACUCAUUUUACAUCUCCUUGUAACCCAUCUGUCUAGACGGAUGAAUUGAAUGCUCAUUUCUCUACUAUUCUUUUUAUAUUAUAUUUGUGUGGACGUAUGUCAACAACUUUUAUAUUUGCUUCUAAUUCUACUCCCCUGCAAAUGGAUCUAAAAUGCGUCAUUUUGCUACCAUUAUUCAAAGAGGAAGCUAAGACCCAAGUGUUGUAUGUCCUCUUAGCAUAAGUGGAUAGUAUUUUCCAAGAGAAAAAGCAAAAUUAGGAAAGGCCCUUCAAAGGUUAAACUGAAAUUUGACAACAGAAAUGAGGACUUAGAACAAGAAAGUGAAGAAGAAGAGGAAGCUAAGGCAUGUUUCCAUAGUUAGUUCAACACCAAAUAACGCUUUAUGAUUGACGAGAAGGAGAUCUGCAAUGUACAACUCUUCUUAUUUAGCUAAUAGAAUUUGGGUUUUCACCUUUGAAAAGUGAAGUAAUAAAGCAAAAUCAAAAGUGCAAAGCAAGAUAACAGAAAAAAGGACAAUCUCACAUCAGAAAGAGAAUUUAUUUAUAGAGAAUCUGGUCAAGAAUGAAUAUUAGAUCCAAAAACUAAGGAAAAAUCAGUAGAUGAAAUGAACAAUAGGCUUUACAGGAGAGGAGUGAUUGUAUGAGUUAACUGAAUAGUUCUCCAUGUUAGUGGGUUUUGAAUGAAAGGUGGAGUUGGAAGAGAGGAGGGUUAUGAGAGGUGAGUAGUAGGAUUUGUGAGUCCAUUAGCAUGAAAGAAAAGAGAAAAAGAGAAGAAUGAGAUAUUGUAUAAGAUUUUUUUGUUAGUAGUGGAAGAUACGUCAGCAAAUUAACUAGUAAAAAUAAUGGUUUAAUAGAAUAUGUAAUUAGAAACCAAUAUUUAUAGUUUUCGAUUUAUGGUUUUUUUUAUUUCAAAAAUAUUUUUCAAUAAGUAGUAAAAAGUAAAAAUUUGCAACCCUAUUAAGUGAACAAUAAAAAAAUAAGAAACAAUGGUAAGUACAUUUGAGAGGUGUUAAGUUCUAUUCUCCCAAUUCUUAAUUUUCAUUUAAAAAUAAAUAAAUAAAUGUAUUCUUAUUUUUUUUUCUUAUUAAUGACAUGAAUAAUGCAUGUGGUGAGUGUAUCGAGUAAAUUUGAAAGAUUUUAAAUUUUAUUUUUUUAAUCUUCAAUCUCUAUUUAAAAAAAAAAUGACAUAUGACUAAUGAUUAAUAAUGUAAAUGGUUAUUAUUAUGUUAAAUUUUAAUACCAUGUGAAUUAUUUUUAUUAAAAUUGAGAAUAUUGAUCAUUAACUGAAAAUACAUAUUUUUUUAAAAUUUCAUUGAAAAGAGAAAGGAAUAAGGUAUCACCUAAAAUUACUCUAAAUUAACAAGUAAUAUAAUUUAUAAAUCAUGUAAACUUAUAAUAAAUUAACAAGUAAUAUAAUUUAUAAAUCAUGUUAUAAGAUUAUAAAUCAUGUAAACUUAUAACGAGUACAAGUUGAACUUUUUAUUUUUAUUAUUAUAUUUUAAAUUUAUUAUAUGAAAAAGUAAUCAUUCUUUAUUUAAAUUUUAAUGACAAUUUUUAUUGUCGUUAUUAAAUUUUUUUUAUGAUUAUAUUAAUUAUCAUUAAUAAAUGAUAAAUUUAUUGUUAUUAUUAUAAUUUUAAUGAUUGAUUAGAGUGUCGUCAUAAUUAAUAUGAAUAAUUAAUAUAUAAUAUCCUCGUUAAAAAUUUUUAACGAGAAAAUCUCUAACGACAAUUUAAUGACCAAAUAAAAUGAUUGUUAAUAAUUUUCGAUAAUCAAUUUUUAAUAUUUAAUGAUGAAUUUUUUUUGUAUUAAUGAUUAUUUUUCUUGUAGUGUUAUCUAUAUUUUUGACUAAUUAAGACAUUCUGAAAAUUUAGUCAAUAAAAAAUAUUUUUAUGUUCAAAUAAAAAAUUAAUUCAUUUUAAAGAAAAUAUAUGAAAGUACUUAAUUCACUCAAGAAAAUUUUAUCUAUAUCAUGCGUAUAGAAGUAAAAUUUGCUAAAGAUUGAUGAAAUAUUGCAUGCAAUGCCAUAUUGGUUUAUAUUUUUUAAUGGUAGACAUUUGUAGUACUCUAACUUUAAAAAUGUGCCAUGACAUACUUGAAUUAUUUAUAAGUGAAGUUAAAAUAGUUUGACAAUCUUAAUAUAGCACGAAGCUUUCAUAGUAUUUCUAAAUCAAUAUUAAUUCAGUAUGAAAAUUUUUUUUAGUGCGUAAAAAAUAUAUGGUUAGCUUUGCAUAAAUAUAAUUUUAUAUAUAUAUAUAUAAUUAAGUGAUUGUUGGAGGUGAAAUUUGAUAAUAAUUUGAUGUUUGUGGAUAUAUGUCGAUAUUUUUAUACUCUAUACUAUUUUAAUAUUUUAUAUUUAGUUUUUCUUAAUUCAAUAAGUUGUUUUAAAUCUAUGUGAAUGUAAUCUUAUGACUGAAGCUUUUGAUUACAGCAUUAUUCACAAAAUCAUUACGUAAUUUGUAUUGUAUAAUGCUUAAGAUAUUAUUUUUCAAUAUAACUAAACUAUUCAUUAACUGCUUUAUUAAACAUAUACAUUAAAUAGAAUUAUUGCAAAAUAAAAAAUUAAAAAUAAAAAUUGAACUUUUUUACUGAGAAAAAAAUUAUACAUUUAAUUUAUAAAAGGGAAAAAACUAAUGAUUAUUUUUUAAAAAAAUAAAAUAAUUUAUGAAACUAGAAAAAUGAAACAAAUAAUUCUAAUGAGGUAGUCUAGAAUUUUGAGUUUUUUCUAAAAAAAAUAUAAUAACAGAUAUUUAUAUAACUUUAUUCAAAUUUUUUUAUUAACUUUAUAUCAAAUAUCGUUAAUUAUUAUCAAUUUUUUUUACUCUUUUAGUAAUUACUCUCUUAAAAUAUGUUAGAGAAACACUUCAUUUUUUUUAAGUUUUAUUCCAAACGUACUUUAUAUACAUUUAAUGAAUCUUGCUAAAAUUUAAUUUAAUACAUAGAAUUUAACAUUAUUUAAUUUAAAAAAUAAAAAAUCUUUAUUUUAUCAUGUUUCAGCUUUUAUGUAAAUAAUAUGAAUAAAUAUGGAUUUUAAAAUAUAAAUUCAAAGUAAAUCCAUGUAUAAAUUUGUCCUAAAAUAUAGUGUAAUUAAUAUCGAUAACAGUUUUUAGUAAUAGUAUCCUGAUUUUCUUUGCCGAUAUAAUAUUAGAUAUAAAUUUAUAAAACAAAUAAACACCUGGAUAAUCUGUUUUAAGUUAGUAAGUGAUUUAUCAUAAAUAUCAAAAUGAGAAUAGUUUGAUUAAAAGAUAAUUGUGUCUUUAUUAUAGGUCUAAAACUGAUUGACUCUGGUAAGAUUAGAAUUUCUUUUUAAAAUCUAUCUGAAUUUUGGUAUGAGGACAUUUUAUUUGUAUGUGAUUUGAAGUCUUAAUUGUUGUAUAACUUUUACGUGAUUUAAAUAACAUGAUCUAUUUAGGUGGAAGUCUUCGGCUCAAUAUUCAUCACCCUUGGGUUUCAAUCAACCUCCCAUUGAUAUUAGCCUCGAGAAUGAAAUCAUGAGGUCUCGCUACCCUUUUGACACUUUUUAGCACUUUAAAUACCAAGAUCUAAAGAUUUUUGAUCUUUUGAUCCUAAAAUCGAACGAUUUUAAAUGUCGAAAUUUUAUUUAUCAUUAAAAUGAAUCGCUCAGAAUCAUGACAUAUUUAUUUUAUUGUAUCUCUUAUGACAUAUUUUUAAACUAACAUAAAUUAUUAAUUAUAUAAUAUUGUACCAUGGAGAUCGAAGAGCAUUUUAGAUUUUUUUUAAUAUAUAUAUACUUGAAUUUAUUUUAUACAUGUCAAUAAAUGAUACUCUUAGAAUUUAAGAUAUAAAAAUGAUAAUUUAAAGGUAAAUAAUUAAGAAAUUAUUAUUAUUUAAAUUGCGAAAACUAAAUUUAAUAAUUAUAAGUUUAUUGUAUUUUAUUAUUAUAUAAAAAUAUUUAAUUAAUUAUAUUAGUUUUCAACUUAAAUUAAAAUUAAAUUUCAUUAUAAUUAUUAAAAUAUUAAUUUUAUAGUGAUAAAUAUUUGAGUUGUCGCUAAAAUUUUUCACAAUAAAUAAUUUAUACUAAUAAUUUUUAACAAUGAAAAAAAAAUUAAAUCGGUGUAAAAAUUAUUUUUUUAAUAUUAUAAUAAAUAGAUAUAAAAAUAAAAGUAUUAAUACUCUAUACUAUUUUAUAAAAAUAAAGAAUAGAUUUUAAAGUAUUUAAAUUUUUGAUAAUUUUGAAUGUUUAUGAUUAGUUUCACAUAUUAAUUUAAUUUUUUAAUUUAAAAUUUAUUAUGUGAUCAUAUAAAUAAAAUGUUUAUAAUUUUAAUGUUUUAAUUUAAUUUUUUAAAUUUUAUGACAUUUUGUAUAUAAAUAUAUUCAUAUUUUAAAAAUAAUUUCUUAUAAUUUAUAAUACAAUAUACUGUAUAUUAAAUCUAUAGAAAAAAAAUUUAUAUAUUAUAAAUUUACGUUAAUAUUAAUAACAAAUAAAAUUUAAAAUGCGAAAUAUAUGUAGUGAGUUUGAGCAUUUCAAAAUUUAUUAUUUUGAAAUAAUUUUAUAUAUUAAUUUUUUAUUAUAUUAAUUAAAAUUGUAAUAUUAUUCAAAUAAAUGUCAAAAUAAAAAUGUUCUAAACAAUUCUUAUAAGUGUAAAGCUUGGUAAAAAUUAAUUUUAUUAUACUAAAAUAAAAUAAUUAAUAAUAAAAAAUUAUAUAAGCUAAAAUUAAUUAUAUUUUUCAUGAAUUUUAUUAAAUAUUAAAAAUAAAAUUAAUUAUUUAUAUAACCGCCUUUAAUUAGGCAUCGAAUCUAGUAUAGUAUUUUUAUAUGAAAAAUUAAUAAAAAAAUUACAAAAUGUGGUGCAUAUAAACGAGUUCUGCAUUUCCUUUCCCAAUUUCCUUUCGUUAUCCUUACCACUUUACCUGCAGGCAGAGAACCUUCCUUUUCCGAUUCUCUAUUUCCUUUCCUCAUUCCCAAUCUCCGAUCCAUCCCUAAAAACAACUGACUAGAGAUCGAUGAUGAUGAAGAUGCCUUGGAGGAGUAAGAGCAGGAGCUUCCAUCUUCAGCUACAAGGGGCAAUUGGUACCAUUCAAUCUCCAUUCCUAUUCUUAUUUACCAAUUAUUGCCAUUCUUCUACUUCCACACUUGAAGAUGCACGCUUCUUGACAAAUAACUUCAAAUCUGCUUCUUUUACCCACCUUGAUGAUGCCAUUGCUUCCUUUAAUCAUGUAAUUCAUAUGCAUCCUCUUCCUUCUAGGGCUCAAUUUAGUAGAUUCUUAUCUGCCCUUGUGAAAAUGAAACAAUAUCACACUGUCUUUUCCAUGUCCAAAACAAUUGAAUUGCUAGGAAUCUCACACGAUGUUUAUUCUCUUAGCAUCUUAAUUAAUUGCUUCUGCCACUUACACCUUGUGGAUUUUGGCUUCUCUGUUUUUGGUAAGAUGCUCAAAUUCGGAUUGGAGCCUGACGUUGUGACAUUUAAUACCUUAAUUAAUGGGCUUUGUAUAGAGAGUAAAAUCGAUAAAGCAGUGGAAUUUUUCGAUGAUAUGGUUGCACGUGGUUAUCAACCUGAUGUUUGUACUUUCAAUGUGAUAGUAAACGGAAUGUGUAAAUUUGGGAAAACAAAUGUGGCUAUUGGGCUACUAAAGGGAAUGGCUGAUAGAGGUUGUGAGCCAAAUGUUGUGACAUACAGUGCAAUCAUUGACGCCCUUUGCAAAGAUGAGCUAGUUGGUGAGGCUUUAGAGCUCUUCUCUCAAAUGAGGAAUAAGGGCAUUUCACCUAAUGUCAUCACUUACACUGGUUUAAUUCACGGUGUUUGCAAAUUAGGCCAAAAGAACCAAGCUUUGGCCUUGAUGAAUGAAAUGGUGGAGCAAAACAUAUUACCAGAUGUUUAUACCUUCAGUGUAUUGAUUGACGCACUUUGUAAGGAUGGAAUGGUUGCAGAGGCUCAAAAUACAUUCAAUGUAAUGAUUCAAAGAGGUGUAGAGCCUAAUGUGGUCACCUACAAUUCCUUAAUUGAUGGUCUUUGCAUUUCAGACCAAUUCAAGGAAGCUUUGGCCUUGUUGAAAGAAAUGGUGGGGAGGAACAUAUCCCCUGAUGUUUUUACCUUCAAUAUAUUGAUUGACACUCUUUGUAAGAAAGGACUAGUUUCAAAUGCACAGAAUAUAAUCAAGAUAAUGAUUCAAAGAGGUGUGGAACCUGAUGUUGUCACUUAUAAUUCAUUGAUGGAUGGAUAUUGUCUGUGCAAGCAAAUUGAUAAGGCUAGAAAGGUAUUUGAUCUGAUGGUGACCAAUGAAAUAGCUGACAUUUUUAGCUACAGCAUUUUGAUCAAUGGAUAUUGUAAGUGCAAAAUGAUAGAUGAUGCAAAGGAUAUUUUUGUUGAAAUGUCUCAUAAAGGUUUAGUUCCUAAUGCUGUUACUUAUUCUACUCUUAUAAAGGGUAUGUUUCAAGCAGGGAGGCCCCAAACUGCACAGGAGCUCUUUAAGAAUAUGUGCUCUCAUGGUCAACAGCCAAAUAUAGUAACCUUCUCAAUUAUGAUUGAUGGCUUGUGUAGACAGGGGAAUCUCGAUGAGGCACUCACACUAUUGAAAGCAAUGGAGAAAAGUCAGUUGAAGCCUAAUUUUGUGAUCUAUAGUAGUUUGAUCAAUGGUAUGUGCAAAGUUGGGAAGAUUAAUGAUGCCAAGGAACUUUUUUCUAGUCUUUUUGAAAUUGGUUUACAACCUGAUGUUUGUGUAUAUAGUGCAAUUAUGAAAGGACUCUGCCAACAAGGAUUAAUGGAUGAAGCGUAUAAGGUAUUUAAAGACAUGGAAAAGGUAGGAUGUUUACCAAAUAAUUGUUGUUAUAAUAUCAUCAUUCAAGGGUUUCUCAAGCAUGAGGAUUUACCAAAAGCAUCAGAACUAAUUAAUGAAAUGGUUGAUAAGGGGUUCUCUGCUGAUGCUGCUACCACAGAAUUGGUAGUACAUUUAUCGCGGAAUAAUGAUCUCAUUCUAAGCAAACUACGUAAUCGUUAUGAGGCUACUAAAUGCAUAAAUGUUAAGUGAUUUUAACAAUCAACACUUGAUCAGCAGAUGCAAGAGGUCUUCGUUGUAAUGUGAGUUAUUGGUACUUCAAUCUAUUUCCUAUAGUGUUGUUAGUUGCUUUUGCUUUUUACAAGAAACUGUUUAGGAUUAGCACUAAACUCAAGUUUUCAGGUUGUAUAAGCAGAUUAGCUUUGCUGAAUCUGUUCCAAUACUGCAUUGGUCUGCAAUAAGUUGAAAAAAAACAAAAAAAGAACCUUAAGACUCCAGUUUUAUGUAUACAAUGAGAGAAAUUGUGCCUGCUCUCUUCUUACGUGUUCCUUUUUUCUCCUCUCAUUUUGAAAUUCAUCAUUCUGGUAUAACAAUCUGCACUUGUACACAGUUUUUCUAAGUGUCAGAUGAUUUAUUGUCAUGUAUGGAAAAUAUCAAAAGGUGAAGAGCAGCAAUUACUUUUCUUAUUUUUGAGUCUUACUCAACCUGAAAGCUUUUGUUUUGCCUUAUUAUUAUACUAUAUGAAGUGACUUGAGCAGAGUUUUAUUGUAAUUCAAAAUGUGUGUUUCAUCAUUUUUGUUGUCUUCAUGAUUUGCUUGCAAUGAGCAUGAAACAACAUACGUGUCUUUACUUUAAAGAACUUGGGGUAAGGGAGAAGAAAAAUCAAGAAUCUAACUAAUGUUUAUGUGUGUCCAAGUUAUCAUUACCCUUGAAAUUUAUAUCUAGGAGAAUGAAAAUAUAAACUCUUAAUUGAGAGAGGGUCAAUUUGGUAGUUUUUCUUCUCCAAAUUCUUGGUCCUUCAAGAUAUUUCACAUUCAUCUUCCAUGAGAAUUAUAGGAUCACAACAACAGCCUCUUAAUCUUCUAUUCCUAACAAAUUAGCCACUAACCUCCAAACCAACUCUGCCAUCUUAAGAAACUAUAACUUUACGACUGACUUCAAAUCCUAUUAUUCUCAAAACUAUGGACUUAAACUCAACUCUAAUUACCAUAUUUAGCAAUUACCAAUAAUAAAUCAAAAUGGAAAAAAAAUAGAUAAGGGAAGGCUUUUCUUUAUUUUGCAAGUUUUAAAACCAAUCUGUAAAUUAAUCCAGGUAAAAAAACCUUGCUUAAUUUUGGAAACCUUAGUCAUUACCCAUCUGCUACACAAUUUCCUUCCAAUCUCUCCCUCUCAAAUCUUUCUUUAACCCAUAAUUCUUGAUAAUAUUUUCAUAUAAAGCUUCCUUAAACCCUAGAAAAAUCCAUCAAUAAUGCCAUCACUGACAAGUUCUAGCAGGAAAAUGAGUUCUCUCUUCAGGAUUUUAGGCUAAGGUUAUAUACGCAAGUCAUCUUUUUAUAUAUAUAAUACAAUUAUGAAAGGUCUAUGCCAAAAAGGAUUAAUAGAUGAAGUAUAUAAGAUUUUUAGAGACAUGAAAAAUUAUGGAUGUUUACCGGAUAAUUGUUGUUAUAAUGUCAUUAUUCAAGGAUUUCUCAGAGCUUUUUGUUUAAUAAGAGUUUUUAAAUUUUUAUUUUGUUAGUAAAAUAUUUAUUCUCUUAAAUUUACAGUUAUUCACAAAAAGUAACUCUGAACUCUUUCAAUAUAUAUGAAGAUAUUUUUUCAUAUUAUAGCAGUCUUAUAUUAAAUAUUUUUUCUGUUAUAUAGACUCUAAAUUUUUUAACUCUAAACUCUCUAGUUUCUAAUUUAUAUUAAGAUAUUUAUAGUAGUUUUGUAUUAAAUAUUUUUUCCACUAUAUAGACCGACCCGAACCCUUAACCUCUAAAUUUACUAAUUUUCAAUUUAUGUUAAGAUAUUUUAUUGUAACCUUAUAUUAAAUAUUUUUUUGACUCUAUUUAAAUAACAAAUUACUUUUAUAAAAUUUAUACAAUUUUUUAAAAUUACUUUUCUAAGUGUUAGAUAAUUUAUUGUCAUGUAUGAAAAAUAUCAGCAGUUUCUUUUUUUUAUUUCUGAGUUAUACUUGUUGAAUCCCACAUCGGUUGUGGAAAGGGGUAAUGUGCCCCUUAUAUGGGUCAUAGGCAAUCCUCCCCUUUGAGCUAGCUUUUGGAGUGAGUUAGGCCUGGCCCAAAUUUAACAUGGUAUCAGAGCCUCCCCAUCCGAUGUUGGGCCUCCCAUGAAUAUGUCACGCAAAAGGGGUAAUGUGCCCCUUAUAUGGGUCAUAGGCAAUCCUCUCCUUUGAGCUAACUUUUGGGGUGAGUUAGACCUGGCCCAAAUUUAACAAUACUCAACCUGAAAGUUUUUGUUUUUGCUUUUUAGUAAUACUAUGCUAACUGAGUCUGCCACAAAAUAGAAGAGGUUGUUUACCAAAUGGUGGUUGUUAUAACAUGACCAUUCAAGGGUGCUUGGAGUGCAAGGAUUUACCAGGGGCCAGUAAGAUAGCUUCUGGAUAAAAUUGUUACUGAUCAUCUGUGUGCUAUUACCCUGUUUUGACCAAAUUACUUAUCAUAGGCUUCAGAGAAACUGUGGAACGUAGAAUGAAGUUCUUUGAUCUCAUUUAAUUCUGAUGUGUAUUUGAAAAUAUUAUGGUAAUUUCCUUUCAUUAUCUGUAUUGGUUAGUUUUCAAGAUUGUCUAGGCUGGAGUAUACAAGAACAAUUAUAUCUUAGUACCUAAAUAGUUGAGAUAAGCUAUAUGGAUAAUUUUGUUUUUGUAAAUUUAUAUUAUCUAGGCUCCAGUAUAAUUUCUUAAAAAUUGAAAGCAUACCCCUUCUUGAUAUUUUUAUCUUCUAAUCAGUAUGAUUAGAAAGAGUUGGUUGUACUUCAAAUAUGUGAUUCUUACGGUAUGGAUCACAUAAUUUUUGUUUUCUUCAUGAUUUGCUUUCAAACAACAAGAAACAACUUACAUGUCUCAACUUUAAAAGAACCGGGUAGAAGACAAAUAAAAAAAUCUAACUUAAAUACAUUUCCACUUUAUUUUAGAUUCUUUACCUUUGAAAUUGAUAUGCAUUACAAGUGAAGAUUGGGUCAAGGAAGCUAGAGCAUUCUAGCAUUUUUCAAAAUGGAAGGAGCAUUUAGGCCAGUUUAAUGAUGGUCAUUGUUAUGAUUUAUUGUAUUUAUAGUUUGAGAAAUUAUAUUAAUUAUUAGGGAUGCAAAUGUUAGAGCAGUGGCUCUAAUGAGACUAAAAUGGGAAUAGAAUAGGGAAUAAAGAAGAGAAGAAGAAGAGAAGAGUGUUUGGACAGAGAAAGAGAGUUUUUAGAGGAAGCAGGCUAUAUUGGCAUUAAUGUAUUAGAAUGCCUUUACAUGUGCAUUACACUAAGAUAUAUACUAUUUUGUAGAAACUAACUUCAUAGUUGUACACUCACUAGCUAUAACUGCUACUAGCUAUAACAGCUUAUACUAGUUACAAUAUUUCCUGCUAUACAUUUUAUUCUGUCUUAUUUCUAUAUUUCUUCUUAAAAUAUGUGACAAUACUCCCUGGUUGAGAACUUUCUUGACCUCAAGAAAAGGAAACAUGAGGAAACUGAGCCUCAAUAAAAUCCUUAUCUUCCCAAGUUGCAUCUUCAGGUGGUAGAUUCACCCAUUUGAUUAAUCCCUGUGCCACAUGGUCAUUUCCCC
rnacentral:lncRNA from 1 species